rnacentral:lncRNA from 1 species
ACCCAGCGCAGGAGCCAGUGGCCCGGCUGCAACACGAGACGGGCACGGGCUCAGGAAAGCUCCCCUGGCGCCCCCGCCCCCACUCUGUGGUUGUGCAAAAUGGUCAAUUACUUCGUCUGAAACAGAGGCCACGUCUGUUCUCCAAUGCUGUGCUUUGGGCGCGGCCUGAGACUAUCCGAUGUUUAAGUUGGUUCAGGUGGCCCAGGGAAAAGGCAAAACAGUACUUUCACAGACUGCAGAAAGCAUCUGAGAAUAAACGAACAUCUCAGAGGGAAGGCUGUGUGGUGGAAGGGAGGCGAUGGUCUUAUUUCCAGUACCAGGAAGGUCCCAGACUCGUGCCUUCUUUCCCAGAUGUCAGCAUGUUCCUCUGCUCAAAAUGUUCCUGGCCUCUUAAAAGAACAUUGUAAAAUGUUAUAUAUGAUAUUAGAGUUUAAAUAAAAAGUUGUUAAAAAAUCCUAAUUAAAUAUACAAGAAUAAAAUUCAUUUUCCCAUUGAAAUCCUACUGAAUUUGCUAAAAAAAAAAAAAAGAUAUUCAAAACAGAGUUUUUUUUCCUUAAGACUAGUCCAAAUGUCCGUAUUAUAAAUUAAUUUAUGGGCUGGGGAUGUGGCUCAAGUGGUAGCA